CCUACGGGUGGCAGCAGUGAGGAAUAUUGGUCAAUGGACGCGAGCCUGAACCAGCCAAGUCGCGUGAAGGAUGACUGCCCUACGGGUUGUAAACUGCUUUUAUACAGGGAUAAACUGAGGCACGUGUACCUUUUUGAAUGUACUUUAUGAAUAAGGAUCGGCUAACUCCGUGCCAGCAGCCGCGGUAAUACGGAGGAUCCGAGCGUUAUCCGGAUUUAUUGGGUUUAAAGGGAGCGUAGGUGGGUUGUUAAGUCAGUGGUGAAAUUUCGGGGCUCAACCGUAAAAUUGCAAUUGAUACUGGUAGUCUUGAGAAUAGUUGAGGUAGGCGGAAUGCGUGGUGUAGCGGUGAAAUGCUUAGAUAUCAUGAAGAACUCCGAUUGCGAAGGCAGCUUACUAAACUGCAACUGACAUUGAGGCUCGAAAGUGUGGGUAGCAAACAGGAUUAGAUACCCUUGUAGUC
rnacentral:rRNA from 1 species